rnacentral:rRNA from 1 species
GAAUCUUCCGCAAUGGACGAACGUCUGACGGAGCAACGCCGCGUGAGUGAUGAAGGUUUUCGGAUCGUAAAGCUCUGCUGCCAGGGAAGAACGCUUGGCAUAGUAACUGCCCCCAAGGUGACGGUACCUGAGUACAACGCCCCGGCUAACUACCUCCCCGCAGCCGCGGUAAUACGUAGGGGGCAAGCGUUGUCCGGAAUUAUUGGGCGUAAAGCGCGCGCAGGCGGCCUUGUAAGUCUGUUGUUUAAACUUGGGGCUCAACCCCAAAUCGCAAUGGAAACUGCAAAGCUUGAAUACAGAAGAGGAAAGUGGAAUUCCACGUGUAGCGGUGAAAUGCGUAGAGAUGUGGAGGAACACCAGUGGCGAAGGCGACUUUCUGGGCUGUAACUGACGCUGAGGCGCGAAAGCGUGGGGAGCAAACA